UUUCCGUAGGUGAACCUGCGGAAGGAUCAUUAACGAGUAAGGGUCGUUCUGGCUCGACCUCCAACCCUUUGUUUAAUUAACAUGUUGCUUUGGCGGGCCCGUUUCACGACCGCCGGAAGUCCUCGGACUUCUCCCCCGUGCCCGCCAAUAACCUUCUACAAACUCUUGAUCAAUUGUGUUGUCUGAGUAAUAAAUUUAAUAGUUAAAACUUUCAACAACGGAUCUCUUGGUUCUG
rnacentral:misc_RNA from 1 species